rnacentral:rRNA from 1 species
ACUGCGGAAGAUUCCCUACUGCUGCCUCCCGUAGGCCCCCCGUGCCCCCGCCCCCCCCGCCGCGCGCGGCGGGCGGGGCGGGGGCACGGGGGGCCUACGGGAGGCAGCAGUAGGGAAUCUUCCGCAAUGGACGAAAGUCUGACGGAGCAACGCCGCGUGAGUGAAGAAGGUUUUCGGAUCGUAAAACUCUGUUGUCAGAGAAGAACAAGUUGGAGAGUAACUGCUCCAGCCUGACGGUA